CCAUCGGUGGUUCAGUGGUAGAAUGCUCGCCUACCACGCGGGCGGCCCGGGUUCGAUUCCCAGCCGAUGCA
rnacentral:tRNA from 1 species